UUGGCUGGAGAGCAGGAGGAAAUAUUUUCUUCUGCUUCUGUGUUUUUGAAAUGCCCUGGCAGAGAGAUCCCCUUUCCUGACAUGCUGGAUGAAGAGAGGUCCUGCAUCGCUGCUGCCCAGCCAGGGUUGCUUUGUCUCUUUUGUUUCCAUCCCUUCAGACCCUUCUCAUUCCCACGCUCUCAAAUGCCAGGUCUUCAAGCCUUGCACUGGGGUUUCUCUUCAGGCUCUUUCCUGAGGAGGGCUCUGCUCUCCAGCCGGUGCUGCGGAGGCCUGACAGGCUGUUCCCGUGGCUUCCCCUCACUCCCAGCCCCAUAUAAGGGCACCCAGAAGUGUCUCCAGAGCCUCUUUCUGUGCAGCGAGCAGCUGUCCUAGCUGAGUGCCUGGGCUCUGGGGGAAAGAGCAGCUGAGCUUAUGCUGAGGUUGCUUUUCCUGCUGCCUGCAGAGCCUCCGGGAGGCUGGGCGCCUGAGGCCAGCACACCAGGUCACCUCCCUGGCCCUUGUCACACUUCUCUGUGCUGCGUUGCUCCCUGCCUCCUUGCAGGUCCCUGUUGCCUCUUGUGUUUCACCAGUCUGAAGCUUUGCCAGCCGCGGCGUUGGCUUGUCCUGCUGCUAAACACACCGCGCAGAACGUAGCUGCCUUAGCCCGGCUCUGCCUUUCUAGGCACUGAGCUGAGCUCUGAAAACACCUGCUAGUGACAGCUCGCCCGGUGUCCCCCCAGGCCACCAGGGACUUGUCCGUGACCCAUCAAAUCCCUGGCAGCUUUUCUGCUCAUCUGUAACGAGACCACAGGGCACCUGAGCUGACUGGGCAGCACCGGAGCUCUCGGCGGCGCGCAGGUCUGGGUUGCUGAUGUCCGUCACGCUCCUUCUCUGCCUCCUGAUGUCUCCUCCUGUGUGGGUGCUUUGCAUUUGGCUUGCAGGAACGCAGCUUGUUAACCACAGAGGGUUUUGAUAGCUUCUUGUGCCAGUGUCACCAAGCGCUGCCUGGCAGCCGCUUCCCAGCGAGCCCAGGGUUGGCACCCGGGUCCCUGCGGCCGCUCAGUGGUAGGUCUCGCUGCGCUCGGUCUCGUGGCCGUGCCCAGGUACUCCUGGCAUCUGGGCCCUUUGACACGCACGUGCAGGAGGCGCAGAAGGGGCCGUGUUGCAUUGCCUGCGCGUUGGCUGGUGUGGGGAACAUCAAGGGCUUGAUCAAAACAAGUCUUAAGGCUUCAUCUAAACAGAGAUCUCAAGUGGUCCCUUCCAACCUAGUUUUUCUCCAUGACUACGAUUAGAUCAUUUGCCUUCCAGGGAUCCUCAGCAGCAGGAGCUGGCACAGCAGGUAGAGAAUGUGUUGCCCGGGGGGCUGUGGUCUCUGCCCAGUGUGCGCCUUGUUCAGACCUGUUUCUGUAUUAGUCAUUUUGCAUUCAUCCAAGUGCCUAACCUGGCCUGUGCCGUUCCCGGGCACCGAGACAGCCAAGAGCUUUGGACACGCUCUCUCAGGAACGUGUUCCCCACGUGGAUUUAUGCCCCUGUCACCGCAGGAAUGAUUCAGAGUGGAGAGGACUGCUCUGCACACUGAGCUUGUGGAAAUCGUUUCUUCUGUUCAGCUGCUGAGCAGCAGGAGUUUGUGCUUCGCCUGCAGCACACCAGCUUGCUGGGUGCGUCAGAUGCCCGUCAGUGAGACCUGCAGGGAGAGCAGCUUUUCCAGCAGGCAGGUGAAGGGGGAUCUGACAUCAUGUACCAGCUGGAUUCCUCCCUGCAAGCCACGUAACGAGGUGCUUCUGUUUCCAAACUGUGUUCUGCCCCAGAGCCAGCUGCAGCAGUGACCCACAUGCAGAACUUCUUAAACCCUCUUCUGCAGAAUAAGAAGGGAUUCCCUUGUUGCUCCUGUUUUCUAGCCCACUGGCAGAACUCUAAAUGUCCUGAGAUUUUAGUGUAGGAAGAGGUGUGUCCUGCAAGGUAUAGGAAGUGCUGAUGGAGCUGCAUUCCUGUCGGAGCGGAGCAUCCUGCUGCGGCCAGGAUCCCGGGACGAGCGGAGCCCUGC